GCCCUUGUGUCACAGUGGUUAUGAGCUUGGCUGUUAACCAAAAGGUUGACAGUUCAAAUCCACCAGCGGCU
rnacentral:tRNA from 1 species